UUGACCUCGGAUCAGGUAGGGAUACCCGCUGAACUUAAGCAUAUCAAUAAGCGGAGGAAAAGAAACCAACAGGGAUUGCCCUAGUAACGGCGAGUGAAGCGGCAACAGCUCAAAUUUGAAAUCUGGCGUCUCCGGCGUCCGAGUUGUAAUUUGUAGAGGAUGCUUCUGGGCAGCCACCGGUCUAAGUUCCUUGGAACAGGACGUCAUAGAGGGUGAGAAUCCCGUAUGCGACCGGACAGGCACCCUCCACGUAGCUCCUUCGACGAGUCGAGUUGUUUGGGAAUGCAGCUCUAAAUGGGAGGUAAAUUUCUUCUAAAGCUAAAUACCGGCCAGAGACCGAUAGCGCACAAGUAGAGUGAUCGAAAGAUGAAAAGCACUUUGGAAAGAGAGUUAAAAAGCACGUGAAAUUGUUGAAAGGGAAGCGCUUGCAACCAGACUUGCUCGCGGUGUUCCGCCGGUCUUCUGACCGGUCUACUCGCCGCGUUGCAGGCCAGCAUCGUCUGGGGCCGCCGGAUAAGACUUUGGGAAUGUAGCUCCUUCGGGAGUGUUAUAGCCCAUCGUGAUGCGGCGCGUCCCGGGCGAGGUCCGCGCUUCGGCUAGGAUGCUGGCGUAAUGGUUGUAAGCGGCCCGUCUUGAAACACGGACCAAGGAGUCUAACAUCUAUGCGAGUGUUCGGGUGUCAAACCCCUACGCGUAAUGAAAGUGAACGGAGGUGGGAACUUUUUGUGCACCAUCGACCGAUCCUGAUGUCUUCGGAUGGAUUUGAGUAAGAGCAUAGCUGUUGGGACCCGAAAGAUGGUGAACUAUGCCUGAAUAGGGUGAAGCCAGAGGAAACUCUGGUGGAGGCUCGCAGCGGUUCUGACGUGCAAAUCGAUCGUCAAAUUUGGGUAUAGGGGCGAAAGACUAAUCGAACCAUCUAGUAGCUGGUU
rnacentral:rRNA from 1 species